rnacentral:sRNA from 1 species
UACUUAUGGGACCAAAGCUAAUAAGUGC